rnacentral:rRNA from 1 species
AGUGAACGCUGGCGGUAGGCCUAACACAUGCAAGUCGAACGGCAGCACAGUAAGAGCUUGCUCUUACGGGUGGCGAGUGGCGGACGGGUGAGGAAUACAUCGGAAUCUACUUUUUCGUGGGGGAUAACGUAGGGAAACUUACGCUAAUACCGCAUACGACCUACGGGUGAAAGCAGGGGAUCUUCGGACCUUGCGCGAUUGAAUGAGCCGAUGUCGGAUUAGCUAGUUGGCGGGGUAAAGGCCCACCAAGGCGACGAUCCGUAGCUGGUCUGAGAGGAUGCAGAAGCCACAGGGGAACGGAAACGGGCCCCAGGCCCUGCCGGGAGGCCGGAGGGGGGAAUAGUGGACAAUGGGCGCAAGCCUGACCAAGCCAACCGGGGUGGGGAAAAAGGGCCUCGGGUUUGUAAAGCCCUUUUGUGGGAAAAAAAAAGCAACAGUUUAAUCCCCCGCUGUUCUGACGGACCCAAAAGAAUAAGCCCCGGCUAACUUCGUG